rnacentral:rRNA from 1 species
GUCUAUGGCCAUGCCACUCUGAACAUGCCUGAUCUCAUAAGCUUAGUAGGGUCAGGCCUGGUUAGUACUUGGAUGGGAGACCACCUAGGAAGACGAGGUGCUGUAGGCA